rnacentral:tRNA from 1 species
GUGGCAGUAGCUCAGUAGUAGAGCUCCCGCUUCGCACGCGGGAAGGCCUGGAUUCGAUACCCGGCUGCUUUC